rfam:Oryza sativa Japonica Group DNA, chromosome 7, cultivar: Nipponbare, complete sequence.
AAUAAGUUUAUUUAUGAGUUUUUUAUCCAACCUUUGAUUGUCCGUUCUAUUUAAAAUUUUUUAUAAUUAGUAUUUUUAUUGUUAUUAUAUGAUAUAGAACAUGAAUAGUAUUUUAUACUUAACUUAUUUUUAUUUUUUUUAAUAAUUUUUUUAAAUAAAACGAAUGGUUAAAUGUUAAACAUAGAAACCCGCAAAUGAACUUAUU